UACAGAGGGUGCAAGCGUUGUUCGGAAUUAUUGGGCGUAAAGCGCGUGUAGGCGGCUUUGCAAGUCGGGUGUGAAAGCCCUCAGCUCAACUGAGGAAGUGCGCCCGAAACUGCAGAGCUUGAGUGCCGGAGAGGGUGGCGGAAUUCCCCAAAGUAGAGGUGAAAUUCGUAGAUAUGGGGGAGGAACACCGGUGGCGAAAGGCGGCCACCUGGACGGUAACUGACGCUGAGACGCGAAAGCGUGGGGAGCAAACAGG
rnacentral:rRNA from 1 species